GCCAACUAGCUUAAUCAAGGUAAAAACUACAUAACUUGAGUUAGAGACUACUUUUGCAAAUUCUAUUACCUGAAACACAUCCAAAAUGUUUGAAAACAAUGGAUAGAACUGUAAAUACAACUACCUUUAGGGACAGCCCGCCGGGCACCCAGCUCGGCUUAAAAACUCGGUCCCAACUGCCGAGAGCUGUCGCCGAUUCGAUCGCACCAAGCGAUCUGAAACGGUUCGAUAAUCGUCUUUUUCAAACCGUGUCCGAUCGAAGUAGGGUUAGUCCCAUCUUAAAGCUCUUGACAUAUUGAGUUCAUUGGUGGUCUCGGAUUGCAGAUCUGACAGUUGGAUUGGCUGUAAUCGUCCUUAGAAGCUUCGAAAAUCACAUUUCCCAAUCUAACAAAUGCGCCGUUCAAUGGUCCUAAUUAUGGUCAAGAACAAGAGCCCAUGAAGAGAAGAACCCAAUGCAAGUGAAAACACACCGAUCGGAGGUCGGAUUUGCCAGAUAUCGUCUAGAGAAGUUUCAAUCGAGAGCUCUCUCUCUCUCCUAGCAUUUCCACUGCAGCCACCGCCAAAUCCAGUCAUCAUAUGUGUCAUAGAGGCCGCUGUAGGCAUCUCAACCUGCUUGAGGCUUCUUUGGCAUUGAAAAGUUGGCCAGAAAACAUGAACGAGAAGAAAAAGGAUAGGACAGAACAAAAGAGAAACACGGCAAGAACAAAAGGGAAACACGGCAACUAGAGUAAACUUUUCAAG
rnacentral:misc_RNA from 1 species